UGGAACAGUGAGGACAACUGGUAGCACAGGAGUUGUGGGUGAUAAAUAGUAUGUGCCUGGAACUCUGAGGGCCAG